rnacentral:rRNA from 1 species
UGAGGAAUAUUGGACAAUGGGUGAGAGCCUGAUCCAGCCAUCCCGCGUGCAGGAAGACGGCCCUAUGGGUUGUAAACUGCUUUUAUACAGGAAUAAACCACCUUACGUGUAGGGUGUUGAAGGUACUGUAUGAAUAAGCACCGGCUAACUCCGUGCCAGCAGCCGCGGUAAUACGGAGGGUGCAAGCGUUAUCCGGAUUUAUUGGGUUUAAAGGGUCCGCAGGCGGACCUGUAAGUCAGGGGUGAAAGCCGGCAGCUUAACUGUCGAACUGCCUUUGAAACUGCAGGUCUUGAGUGAAAUUGAAGUAGCUGGAAUGAGUAGUGUAGCGGUGAAAUGCAUAGAUAUUACUCAGAACACCAAUAGCGAAGGCAGGUUACUAAAUUUCAACUGACGCUGAGGGACGAAAGCGUGGGGAGCGAACAGG